rnacentral:tRNA from 2 species
CGGGGCGUAGCUCAGCCUGGUAGAGCGCUUGCUUUGGGAGCAAGAAGUCGUCAGUUCGAAUCUGGCCGCCCCGACCC